rnacentral:lncRNA from 1 species
AAAGACACACAUUUAGGGACGAGCAAAUUAUGUCUCCUUACUGAUCUGUCGCUUUUCUUCCUUACAUGCACUCUUGGAAGAAAACAAAACUGUGUAAUGAUAUCCCCAGUGGACACUGUGGAAGCCAUCCAGUUGCCUCAUUUUAACCAGUGAAGAAACUUUGGAUUGGCAAAGGUUCCAAGAGUAACUACGAGCCACAGAGCCAGGACAGAAAGCCUCCCGACUCCCUGUGUUGGCAUCAGAAAUGGCCUACAGCCUCUGAAUCAAGUGAUGAUUUCACCCCAGACAACAAGAACCCACGUGACUGUUGCCAUAGCAACGACCACACAUUACUAGUGCUCACUUCAUUCACUUCACCUGCCCACCACCUUACCUGUGUGUGGUAGUGCGUCUAAUUACAUCACAGCCCAAAUAAAAGACAGGGAUCCCAGAACCCUCACCCUUCUUCAUUGCCCUCCUGUUUUCCUCUUCCCUUCCCCUCUUCCCCUUAAUAAACCUUUUCUUGGAA